rnacentral:tRNA from 1 species
GCGCCCGUAGCUCAGCUGGAUAGAGCAGCGGUUUCCUAAACCGCAGGUCGGAGGUUCGAGUCCUCUCGGGCGCG